GGAAGCGUGGCAGAGUGGCUUAUUGCUCCGGUCUUGAAAACCGGCGUGCGUUUGCGCGCACCGUGGGUUCAAAUCCCACCGCUUCCGCCA
rnacentral:tRNA from 1 species